rnacentral:rRNA from 1 species
GACGAACGCUGGCGGCGUGCUUAACACAUGCAAGUCGAACGGAAAGGCCCUGCUUUUGUGGGGUGCUCGAGUGGCGAACGGGUGAGUAACACGUGAGUAACCUGCCCUUGACUUUGGGAUAACUUCAGGAAACUGGGGCUAAUACCGGAUAGGAGCUCCUGCUGCAUGGUGGGGGUUGGAAAGUUUCGGCGGUUGGGGAUGGACUCGCGGCUUAUCAGCUUGUUGGUGGGGUAGUGGCUUACCAAGGCUUUGACGGGUAGCCGGCCUGAGAGGGUGACCGGCCCCAUUGGGACUGAGAUACGGCCCAGACUCCUACGGGAGGCAGCAGUGGGGAAUAUUGCACAAUGGGCGGAAGCCUGAUGCAGCAACGCCGCGUGCGGGAUGACGGCCUUCGGGUUGUAAACCGCUUCCGCCUGUGACGAAGCGUGAGUGACGGUAAUGGGUAAAGAAGCACCGGCUAACUACGUG